GCUUAUGGCCAUAUCACAUUGAAAGCAAUGGUUCUCGUUUGAUCACCUAAGUUAAGCAACAAUGUCAGUGUGCAUACACAACAGAGUGUAAGCGCUCGGAGAGAAAAGUUGGACAUAAGAA
rnacentral:rRNA from 1 species